rnacentral:rRNA from 1 species
UUGUCUCAAAGAUUAAGCCAUGCAUGUCUCAGUACAAGCCAAAUUAAGGUGAAACCGCGAAAGGCUCAUUAAAUCAGUUAUGGUUCCUUAGAUCGUACCCACAUUUACUUGGAUAACUGUGGUAAUUCUAGAGCUAAUACAUGCAAACAGAGCUCUAACCGGAAACGGGAGGAGCGCUUUUAUUAGAUCAAAACCAGUCGGCGUCGGGCUCCGGUCCGUCGUCGUCACCUAAUGGUGAGUCUGAAUAACUUUAUGCUGAUCGCACGGUCACGCACCGGCGACGCAUCUUUCAAAUGUCUGCCUUAUCAACUGUCGAUGGUAGGUUCUGCGCCUACCAUGGUUGUAACGGGUAACGGGGAAUCAGGGUUCGAUUCCGGAGAGGGAGCCUGAGAAACGGCUACCACAUCCAAGGAAGGCAGCAGGCGCGCAAAUUACCCACUCCCGGCACGGGGAGGUAGUGACGAAAAAUAACGAUACGGGACUCAUCCGAGGCCCCGUAAUCGGAAUGAGUACACUCUAAAUCCUUUAACGAGGAUCAAUUGGAGGGCAAGUCUGGUGCCAGCCGCCGCGGUAAUUCCAGCUCCAAUAGCGUAUAUUAAAGUUGUUGCGGUUAAAAAGCUCGUAGUCGAAUUUGUGUCCCGCGCCGCCGGUACAUCGCUCACGGUGUUCCGACUGGCGGGUCCGCGGGACGUCCUGCCGGUGGGCGCGGCCGUACUUCUGGUUUGUCUUUCGGGGCAGAUUGAGUACGGCGGCCCAACUUGAAAUCCCGCCGCGGUGCUCUUCAUUGAGUGUCGAGGCGGGCCGGCACGUUUACUUUGAACAAAUUAGAGUGCUUAAAGCAGGCUAAAAUUUCGCCUGAAUACAUCUUGCAUGGAAUAAUGGAAUAGGACCUCGGUUCUAUUUUGUUGGUUUUCGGAACCCCGAGGUAAUGAUUAAUAGGAACGGAUGGGGGCAUUCGUAUUGCGACGUUAGAGGUGAAAUUCUUGGANCGUCGCAAGACGGACAGAAGCGAAAGCAUUUGCCAAAAACGUUUUCAUUGAUCAAGAACGAAAGUUAGAGGUUCGAAGGCGAUCAGAUACCGCCCUAGUUCUAACCAUAAACGAUGCCAGCUAGCGAUCCGCCGACGUUCCUCCGAUGACUCGGCGGGCAGCUUCCGGGAAACCAAAGCUUUUGGGUUCCGGGGGAAGUAUGGUUGCAAAGCUGAAACUUAAAGGAAUUGACGGAAGGGCACCACCAGGAGUGGAGCCUGCGGCUUAAUUUGACUCAACACGGGAAACCUCACCAGGCCCGGACACCGGAAGGAUUGACAGAUUGAGAGCUCUUUCUUGAUUCGGUGGGUGGUGGUGCAUGGCCGUUCUUAGUUGGUGGAGCGAUUUGUCUGGUUAAUUCCGAUAACGAACGAGACUCUAGCCUGCUAACUAGGCGUAUUUUCGACAUCUCAAAGGCCCGUCGUGUCGGCGCUCGCGUCGUCCGGCGCGGUUUUUACUGUCGGCGUACAAUUAAUUCUUCUUAGAGGGACAGGCGGAUUCUAGCCGCACGAGAUUGAGCAAUAACAGGUCUGUGAUGCCCUUAGAUGUUCUGGGCCGCACGCGCGCUACACUGAAGGAAUCAGCGUGUCCUCCCUGGCCGAACGGUCCGGGUAACCCGCUGAACCUCCUUCGUGCUAGGGAUUGGGGCUUGCAAUUGUUCCCCAUGAACGAGGAAUUCCCAGUAAGCGCGAGUCAUAAGCUCGCGUUGAUAACGUCCCUGCCCUUUGUACACACCGCCCGUCGCUACUACCGAUUGAAUGAUUUAGUGAGGUCUUCGGACUGGUACGCGGCGACGUUUCGACGUCACCGAUGUUACUGGGAAGAUGACCAAACUUGAUCAUUU